UGCAGGUCUAAGUAAUAAGCAACUUUACUGUGAAACUGCGAAUGGCUCAUUAAAUCAGUUAUCGUUUAUUUGAUAGUACCUUACUACAUGGAUAACCGUGGUAAUUCUAGAGCUAAUACAUGCUAAAAACCUCGACUUCGGAAGGGGUGUAUUUAUUAGAUAAAAAACCAAUGCCCUUCGGGGCUCCCUGGUGAUUCAUAAUAACUUAACGAAUCGCAUGGCCUUGUGCCGGCGAUGGUUCAUUCAAAUUUCUGCCCUAUCAACUUUCGAUGGUAGGAUAGUGGCCUACCAUGGUUUCAACGGGUAACGGGGAAUUAGGGUUCUAUUCCGGAGAAGGAGCCUGAGAAACGGCUACUACAUCCAAGGAAGGCAGCAGGCGCGCAAAUUACCCAAUCCCGACACGGGGAGGUAGUGACAAUAAAUACUGAUACAGGGCUCUUUUGAGUCUUGUAAUUGGAAUGAGUACAAUUUAAAUACCUUAACGAGGAACAAUUGGAGGGCAAGUCUGGUGCCAGCAGCCGCGGUAAUUCCAGCUCCAAUAGCGUAUAUUAAAGUUGUUGCAGUUAAAAAGCUCGUAGUUGAACCUUGGGCCUGGUUGGCCGGUCCGCCUCACCGCGUGCACUGGUCCGACCGGGUCUUUCCUUCUGGGGAGCCGCAUGCCCUUCACUGGGUGUGUCGGGGAACCAGGACUUUUACUUUGAAAAAAUUAGAGUGUUCAAAGCAGGCCUAUGCUCGAAUACAUUAGCAUGGAAUAAUAGAAUAGGACGUGUGGUUCUAUUUUGUUGGUUUCUAGGACCGCCGUAAUGAUUAAUAGGGAUAAGUCGGGGGCAUCAGUAUUCAAUUGUCAGAGGUGAAAUUCUUGUAUUU
rnacentral:rRNA from 1 species